rnacentral:rRNA from 1 species
GUUUGAUCCUGGCUCAGGAUGAACGCUAGCGACAGGCUUAACACAUGCAAGUCGAGGGGCAGCACAGGUAGCAAUACCGGGUGGCGACCGGCGCACGGGUGAGUAACGCGUAUGCAACUUGCCUAUCAGAGGGGGAUAACCCGGCGAAAGUCGGACUAAUACCGCAUGAAGCAGGGGCCCCGCAUGGGGAUAUUUGCUAAAGAUUCAUCGCUGAUAGAUAGGCAUGCGUUCCAUUAGGCAGCUGGCGGGGUAACGGCCCACCAAACCGACGAUGGAUAGGGGUUCUGAGAGGAAGGUCCCCCACAUUGGUACUGAGACACGGACCAAACUCCUACGGGAGGCAGCAGUGAGGAAUAUUGGUCAAUGGGCGUAAGCCUGAACCAGCCAAGUCGCGUGAGGGAUGAAGGUUCUAUGGAUCGUAAACCUCUUUUAUAAGGGAAUAAAGUGCGGGACGUGUCCCGUUUUGUAUGUACCUUAUGAAUAAGGAUCGGCUAACUCCGUGCCAGCAGCCGCGGUAAUACGGAGGAUCCGAGCGUUAUCCGGAUUUAUUGGGUUUAAAGGGUGCGUAGGCGGCCUUUUAAGUCAGCGGUGAAAGUCUGUGGCUCAACCAUAGAAUUGCCGUUGAAACUGGGGGGCUUGAGUAUGUUUGAGGCAGGCGGAAUGCGUGGUGUAGCGGUGAAAUGCUUAGAUAUCACGCAGAACCCCGAUUGCGAAGGCAGCCUGCCAAGCCAUGACUGACGCUGAUGCACGAAAGCGUGGGGAUCAAACAGGAUUAGAUACCCUGGUAGUCCACGCAGUAAACGAUGAUCACUAGCUGUUUGCGAUACAGUGUAAGCGGCACAGCGAAAGCGUUAAGUGAUCCACCUGGGGAGUACGCCGGCAACGGUGAAACUCAAAGGAAUUGACGGGGGCCCGCACAAGCGGAGGAACAUGUGGUUUAAUUCGAUGAUACGCGAGGAACCUUACCCGGGUUUGAACGCAUUCGGACCGAGGUGGAAACACCUUUUCUAGCAAUAGCCGUUUGCGAGGUGCUGCAUGGUUGUCGUCAGCUCGUGCCGUGAGGUGUCGGCUUAAGUGCCAUAACGAGCGCAACCCUUGCCACUAGUUACUAACAGGUAAAGCUGAGGACUCUGGUGGGACUGCCAGCGUAAGCUGCGAGGAAGGCGGGGAUGACGUCAAAUCAGCACGGCCCUUACAUCCGGGGCGACACACGUGUUACGAUGGCGUGGACAAAGGGAUGCCACCUGGCGACAGGGAGCGAAUCCCCAAACCACGUCUCAGUUCGGAUCGGAGUCUGCAACCCGACUCCGUGAAGCUGGAUUCGCUAGUAAUCGCGCAUCAGCCUUGGCGCGGUGAAUACGUUCCCGGGCCUUGUACACACCGCCCGUCAAGCCAUGGGAGCCGGGGGUACCUGAAGUCCGUAACCGCGAGGAUCGGCCUAGGGUAAAACUGGUGACUGGGGCUAAGUCGUAACAAGGUAACC